AUGGGAACGCGAAGAACCUUACCUAGACUUGACAUCUCCUGAAUAGUGUAGAGAUACAUGAAGCCCUUCGGGGCAGGAAGACAGGUGGUGCAUGGUUGUCGUCAGCUCGUGCCGUGAGAUGUUGGGUUAAGUCCCGCAACGAGCGCAACCCUUAUCAUUAGUUGCUACCAUUUAGUUGAGCACUCUAGUGAGACUGCCCGGGUUAACCGGGAGGAAGGCGGGGAUGACGUCAAAUCAUCAUGCCCCUUAUGUCUAGGGCUACACACGUGCUACAAUGGUGAGAACAACGAGAUGCAAUACCGCGAGGUGGAGCAAAACUUCAAAACUCAUCUCAGUUCGGAUUGUAGGCUGAAACUCGCCUACAUGAAGUUGGAGUUGCUAGUAAUCGCGAAUCAGAAUGUCGCGGUGAAUACGUUCCCGGGUCUUGUACACACG
rnacentral:rRNA from 1 species